GAUGAACGCUGGCGGCGUGCCUAAUACAUGCAAGUCGAGCGAACAGACGAGGAGCUUGCUCCUCUGACGUUAGCGGCGGACGGGUGAGUAACACGUGGAUAACCUACCUAUAAGACUGGGAUAACUUCGGGAAACCGGAGCUAAUACCGGAUAAUAUAUUGAACCGCAUGGUUCAAUAGUGAAAGACGGUUUUGCUGUCACUUAUAGAUGGAUCCGCGCCGCAUUAGCUAGUUGGUAAGGUAACGGCUUACCAAGGCAACGAUGCGUAGCCGACCUGAGAGGGUGAUCGGCCACCCUGGAACGGGGACACGGACCAGACUCCUACGGGAGGCAGCAGUAGGGAAUCUUCCGCAAUAGGCGAAAGCCUGACGGAGCAACGCCGCGUGAGUGAUGAAGGUCUUCGGAUCGUAAAACUCUGUUAUUAGGGAAGAACAAAUGUGUAAGUAACUAUGCACGUCUUGACGGUACCUAAUCAGAAAGCCACGGCUAACUACGUG
rnacentral:rRNA from 1 species